GGAGAAGUGGCCGAGUGGUUUAAGGCGCACGCCUGGAACGCGUGUUGGGUGCAAGCCCUCGCAGGUUCGAAUCCUGUCUUCUCCG
rnacentral:tRNA from 1 species